UACGUAGGGGGCGAGCGUUAUCCGGAUUCACUGGGUGUAAAGGGAGCGUAGACGGCCAUGCAAGCCAGGGGUGAAAGCCCGGGGCCCAACCCCGGGACUGCCCUUGGAACUGCAUGGCUGGAGUGCGGGAGGGGCAGGCGGAAUUCCUGGUGUAGCGGUGAAAUGCGUAGAUAUCAGGAGGAACACCGACGGCGAAGGCGGCCUGCUGGACCGCGACUGACGUUGAGGCUCGAAAGCGUGGGGAGCGAACAGG
rnacentral:rRNA from 1 species